CGGGGUGUAGCGCAGUCUGGUAGCGCGGUUGCUUUGGGAGCAAUAGGUCGGGAGUUCGAAUCUCUCCACCCCGACCA
rnacentral:tRNA from 1 species